rnacentral:rRNA from 1 species
AAAGGUGUCUAUGGCAAAGGGGAUCCACCUCUAUCCAUUCCGAACAGAGAAGUUAAGCCCUUUCACGCCGAUGGUACUGCCGACAGGUGGGAGAGUAGGUAGAUGCCAAAU